rnacentral:rRNA from 1 species
GAUGAACGCUGGCGGCGUGCCUAAUACAUGCAAGUCGAGCGAACAGAUGAGGAGCUUGCUCCUCUGACGUUAGCGGCGGACGGGUGAGUAACACGUGGAUAACCUACCUAUAAGACUGGGAUAACUUCGGGAAACCGGAGCUAAUACCGGAUAAUAUAUUGAACCGCAUGGUUCAAUAGUGAAAGACGGUGUUGCUGUCACUUAUAGAUGGAUCCGCGCCGCAUUAGCUAGUUGGUAAGGUAACGGCUUACCAAGGCAACGAUGCGUAGCCGACCUGAGAGAGUGAUCGGCCACACUGGAACUGAGACACGGUCCAGACUCCUACGGGAGGCAGCAGUAGGGAAUCUGCCGCAAUGGGCGAAAGCCUGACGGAGCAACGCCGCGUGAGUGAUGAAGGUCUUCGGAUCGUAAAACUCUGUUAUUAGGGAAGAACAAAUGUGUAAGUAACUAUGCACGUCUUGACGGUACCUAAUCAGAAAGCCACGGCUAACUACGUG